UUGUGUUUCUCACGCAGUUUUGGCUAUAAAAUGACGUUCAUGCAUGGCUUAGAUUCCAUAAUCAUUACACUUUUUGGGUUAGUAUCUAAACAAGGGUUGUGAACUGUGAAUCUGUUGAGCAAAACAAUUCAUAAAAGUAUGGGGUGGUUUCUGUUUCUUGUCCUGAGUUUCUUGCUUUCUCAUUUUCCUUCACAAACGUCUUCAUUGAUGCCAUUUUGCAACCAUGAUGACGCCUCCGCCUUGCUUAGCUUCAAGAGCUCAUUUACUCUCAAUAGCUCUUCUGACUCUUCUCUUGGGUGUGAGUCUCCUUAUCCAAAGACAGAAUCAUGGGAAAAUGGUACGAAUUGCUGCUUGUGGGAAGGGGUGAGUUGUGACGCCAAGUCAGGUCACGUAAUUGGCAUAGACCUUAGCAGCAGUUGCCUUCAAGGUGAAUUUCAUCCCAACACCACUCUCUUCAAACUCAUUCAUCUCAAAAAACUCAACCUUGCCUUCAAUGAUUUUUCCAAUUCUCCAAUGCCUAACGGCUUUGGUGAUCAUGUGGCUCUUACUCAUCUAAAUCUAUCUCACUCUGCAUUUAGUGGUGUUAUUCCUUCUAAAAUCUCUCUGCUCUCAAAAUUAGUCUCUCUUGAUCUCUCAUUUCUUGGAAUGAGAAUUGAAGCAGCAACCCUGGAAAAUGUCAUUGUAAAUGCAACUGAUAUAAGGGAGCUCACUCUUGAUUUCCUAAACAUGUCUACCAUUGAACCGAGCUCUCUAUCUUUGUUAGUGAAUUUCUCAUCCUCUUUGGUCUCUCUUAGUCUUGGAGAUACAGGAUUGCAAGGGAAGUUAGCAAAUAACAUACUCUGUUUACCCAAUCUUCAAAAGCUUGAUCUGUCUGUCAAUUUGGAUCUCGAAGGUGAACUUCCAGAGUUCAAUCGGAGCACUCCUCUUAGAUACUUGGAUCUCUCUUACACUGGCUUUUCAGGAAAACUUCCCAAUACCAUUAACCAUUUGGAGUCUCUUAACUUUUUGGGUUUAGAAUCAUGUGACUUCGAAGGACCUAUUCCUGUGUUUUUAUUUAACCUCACGCAGCUAAAAUUCUUGGACCUUGGUGGGAACAAUUUCAGCGGUGAGAUUCCGUCAUCCCUUUCAAACCUUCGACAUCUAACUUUCAUUAAUCUUUUUUAUAAUAGUUUCACAGGACACAUUGUGCAAUAUUUUGGGAAUAUCACACAAGUAUAUCAUCUGAACCUUGGUUGGAACAAUUUCAGCGGUGAGAUUCCAUCAUCACUUUCAAAUCUUCAACAUCUCACUUUCAUUAAUCUUUCUGAUAAUAGUUUCACUGGAACCAUUGCAAAAUGUUUUGGGAACAUCACACAAGUAAAUCAUCUGGACCUCUCUGGGAAUAACUUUAGGGACGAGAUCAUACCAUCAUUUAUUUUCAACCUUCAGCAUCUUACUUACUUAGAUCUUUCAGAUAAUAAUUUUGGUGGUGAGAUUCCCGAUUUGUUUGACAAGCUUAGCAAAUUAGAAACUUUAGAUCUAUCAAGGAAUCAAAUUCAUGGUAGGAUUCCAAAAUGAUUUAAUAGAACAGGGAAAGAGACUUUGUCUUUUUUGGACCUUUCUCAUAACCUUCUAACAUCGAUUGAGUGUCUCUCACUCUCAUGGGCGACCAUACAAUCCAUUGACCUCAGCUUCAACAUGUUGCAAGGAGAUAUUCCAGUUCCCCCAUCUGGCAUUCAAUACUUUUCUGUCUCAAAUAACAAAUUGACUGGUCACAUUUCUUCAACUAUUUGCAAUGCAAGCUCCCUUCAGAUGCUUGACUUGUCUCACAAUAACUUGACAGGUAAGCUUCCUAAAUGCCUUGGAACCUUUCCUUACCUUUCAGUUUUGGAUCUUCGAAGAAACAACCUUAGUGGAAUGAUACCCAAAACAUAUCUUGAGAUAGAAGCAUUGGAGACUAUGAAUUUUAAUGGCAAUCAAUUGGAGGGACCAUUACCUCGGUCUGUUGUCAAGUGCAAACAGCUAAGAGUUUUGGACCUUGGAGAAAAUAACAUACACGAUAAAUUUCCAACUUUUCUGGAGUCACUUCAGCAGCUGCAAGUCCUUGUUUUACGUGCUAAUAGGUUCAACGGUACCAUCAAUUGUAUGAAAUUGACAAAAGAUUUUCCCAUGUUGCGGGUUUUUGACAUCUCCAACAAUAAUUUCAGUGGCAAUUUACCAACAGCUUGCUUAGAAGACUUCAAGGGAAUGAUGGUGAAUGUUGAUAAUAGUAUGCAAUAUAUGACGGGAGAAAACUAUUCUUCCCGUUACUAUGAUUCUGUGGUAGUCACCAUGAAAGGAAACAUUUAUGAGCUGCAGAGAAUCCUAACUACUUUCACAACUAUUGAUUUGUCAAAUAACAGAUUUGGAGGAGUGAUUCCCGCAAUCAUUGGAGACUUAAAGUCACUCAAAGGGCUUAACCUUUCCCACAACAGAAUCACAGGUGUUAUUCCAAAAAACUUUGGUGGUUUGGACAAUCUAGAAUGGUUAGACCUCUCUUCAAACAUGCUCAUGGGUGAGAUUCCAAAAACAUUGACCAAUCUUCACUUCCUCUCGGUCUUAAAUCUUUCACAAAACCAGCUGGUGGGGAUGAUACCAACAGGUAAACAGUUUGAUACUUUCCAGAAUGAUUCCUAUGAAGGCAAUCAAGGGCUAUGUGGGUUGCCUUUGUCAAAAUCUUGUCACAAUGAUGAAAAACUGCCAACAGAAUCAGCAACAUUUCAGCAUGAUGAAGAAUUCAGGUUUGGUUGGAAACCCGUAGCUAUAGGAUAUGCAUGUGGAGUGGUAUUUGGAAUAUUAUUGGGUUAUAUUGUCUUCUUCUAUCGGAAACCAGAAUGGUCAAUCAGUUUUGUUGAAUGCAUUCUUAAUCAAAGAGUGAGAAAGAAGAGCAACAGAUCUAAUGCAAAUACAAGACGAUACAAUCAACGUCGUUAAAGGAACAGAGAAUCGGUCCACAGUCGGAAUAUAUAGCAGGUGUCUAGUUGAUGUCACACAUAGUGAACGCCAUUUCGGUUGAGGUCAUUCUUUUACUCCAUUCUAUUUUCGUCCCUUUGGUGUUGCACGUGAUGUUGAACAUGUUGAAAAUUUUGCUGUGACAAGUUUACUCUUUCAAUUCGUGUGUUGUAAUAAGCGUAUAAGUUGUGUAUUUUUUUACUUGAUCUUGUAUCAUUUGUGUGUUGAAUAGAAGGAAUUUAUCUCCUUAGAUCUUUAUUAUUGUACCAGUUAAAUUGCAUGCAAGAACUUGUAGACUUGGAAUUUCCUUCAGUAUCUCUGACUCUAAA